rnacentral:rRNA from 1 species
AUUGAACGCUGGCGGCAGGCCUAACACAUGCAAGUCGAGCGGCAGCACGGGAGCUUGCUCCUGGUGGCGAGCGGCGGACGGGUGAGUAAUGCCUAGGAAUCUGCCUGGUAGUGGGGGAUAACGCUCGGAAACGGACGCUAGUACCGCAUACGUCCUACGGGAGAAAGCGGGGGACCUUCGGGCCUCGCGCUAUCAGAUGAGCCUAGGUCGGAUUAGCUAGUUGGUGAGGUAAAGGCUCACCAAGGCGACGAUCCGUAACUGGUCUGAGAGGAUGAUCAGUCACACUGGAACUGAGACACGGUCCAGACUCCUACGGGAGGCAGCAGUGGGGAAUAUUGGACAAUGGGCGAAAGCCUGAUCCAGCCAUGCCGCGUGUGUGAAGAAGGUCUUCGGAUUGUAAAGCACUUUAAGUUGGGAGGAAGGGCAUUAACCUAAUACGUUAGUGUUUUGACGUUACCGACAGAAUAAGCACCGGCUAACUUCGUGCCAGCAGCCG